rnacentral:rRNA from 1 species
GUUAGGAAUAUUGGGCAAUGGAGGAAACUCUGACCCAGCAACGCCGCGUGAAGGAUGAAGGUUUUCGGAUUGUAAACUUCUGUUCUAUGUGAAAAAACAAAUGAUGGUACCAUAGGAGAAAGCCACGGCUAACUACGUGCCAGCAGCCGCGGUAAUACGUAGGUGGCGAGCGUUGUUCGGAAUGACUGGGCGUAAAGGGAGCGUAGGUUGUUUUUUAAGUUAAAUGUGAAAGCCCGGGGCUUAACUCCGGAAUGCCAUUUAAUACUGGAAAACUAGAGUGCAGGAGGGGUGAGCGGAAUUUCUAGUGUAGCGGUGGAAUGCGUAGAUAUUAGGAAGAACACCAGAGGCGAAGGCGGCUCACUGGACUGUUACUGACACUGAUGCUCGAAAGCGUGGGGAGCAAACAGGAUUAGAAACCCUAGUAGUCC